CCUACGGGUGACAGCAGUGGGGGAUAUUGCACAAUGGGGGGAACCCUGAUGCAGCGACGCCGCGUGGGUGAAGGAGCGUUUCGGCGCGUAAAGCCCUAUCGGCAGGGAAGAAGAUGACGGUACCUGGCCAAGAAGCCCCGGCUAACUACGUGCCAGCAGCCACGGUAAUACGUAGGGGGCAAGCGUUAUCCGGAUUUACUGGGUGUAAAGGGAGCGUAGACGGCGCGGCAAGUCUGAAGUGAAAGGCAGGGGCUUAACCCCUGAACUGCUUUGGAAACUGCCAUGCUAGAGUGCUGGAGAGGUAAGUGGAAUUCCUAGUGUAGCGGUGAAAUGCGUAGAUAUUAGGAGGAACACCAGUGGCGAAGGCGGCUUACUGGACAGUAACUGACGUUGAGGCUCGAAAGCGUGGGGAGCAAACAGGAUUAGAUACCCGAGUAGUC
rnacentral:rRNA from 1 species